rnacentral:sRNA from 1 species
UUUUCUCAUUUUAUUUCAUGUUCACAUUCUUCCAAAAUCUCAUAAGUAGCAAUGUUGUAUCAACUUGGCGGCACAAAUAUACCCUCCUAGGUGGGAAUUCGAUAAAACCCGAGGCGGUGGAAACUCUUUGCACCCAUCGAAAGGCCGAUCUAGUGCUUUUUGAAUACCUUGUCGAACAACAUACCUCAAAGCUUUUACGAUGCUGAGCUUAUAACAGAAAUGUGCCUUAUUUUUUUGCAGCUUUCCUUUCUCGGGAAACACAAAAUCUACAAGCUCUUGAUACAAGUACUCAGUCCCGUUUUCAUGUUGUUUGAUCCACCGUAUCGCAGUGACUAAUUCAGCCGUCACGAUCGCCCAACAUAUAUCUACAUUUAUCAAAGUAUUUUUAGGAAAAACAAGAACCAGUUCAUAAGUAAAACAACCUAGAAUUUGAAACUCUACCGUGUUCUCCCUGAUCUUUCAUCGGACCAUUAAAAGGUCCCCAGUCCGCCUUCUUUGUUUCAUCAGGCAAUACCUUUAUUGGUCGAUAUGUGAAAAGUAGAAAAUAACCGUCAUAAGCACCUUGUUUUGCUCAUAUAAUAACGAAGUAUAAAUCAUUCAAACACCAAAAAUUAACAAACAGAACAAAAUCGUUUGAAAAAUCAAGAG